rnacentral:lncRNA from 1 species
UUGUGCUGAUCCGCGUGAGCCUAGAUACAGUCACGCUCCACCGAAAACUGAAAUUGUCCCUGCCGUGGUGCCUCUCGUUCCUACUUGUCCCUGAAGCUGCAUAGUCCCUCGCUCUCAUUUGCGGAAUCUGACACAAAAAAAGGACAAAAGCGGAAAGGAUUCCGUUCUGCUGCGCCGUUGCCCUCUUCCCGCCUCCCGGUCCUCUGGCAAACUAUCGGGUUCCUGUGUCUCGUAAAGAUUCCUCGCGCCCGCUGGUUCCUCGCCAGAAAUCACCAGUCGAGACGGUCUACAGCAAAGAAGCAUAGAAAGAAAAAUACGGCGAAACGUUGUCAUUCGCUUUCUCUGGCUUCCACGCUUCGCUCCGAGAGGAAAGACUUCCGUUGCGGUUCCAGUUACUGCCGACCUCCUCGGCGCCUCAACGGGCGACGCGACUCGGCUAGCGACAGAAGAAGGGUCGGAGAUCUAUGCCCUGAAAACCCGGAACUUGCCAGUUCGACUUUGUCUUGUAUUUCAAGCGUUUUUUUGUGUUGGUACGAAGCCAACUCAGCCGUGCGCGUUGUGUGGCGUCUUCAAAAGUCGCGUGGAAGAGACCCUUGGACCGACACACACACCGCGAGGUGUCUGGGUGUCUUCUUCUUCAUUACAAGGUCAUUUCAGCCGUUUCAUCGUUUCGUUCAACGCACCUGAAAACUAAAGGAGCUAAUCCGUGCCUGAUACCGUCCGGAUCCCCAGUGUAUGGACACCUCACCUUAUGAUCGAAAAGGCUGCGGCUGAGAUCACAAUGGCCUCCAUCUAGCCCGUCGCUCUUGACUUCCUCUCGGAACGGGCAACACGAGGAGACGCUGCGAGUUCGCCCUCUCUAUUCCGGCUUUCUUCACCCUUUCCAGAGUGUCUGGUGUCUUUCUUUCGAUCUAAUUUCGACUUCAGAGGUGAC